GGAUGGAUCACCUCCUUUCUAAGGACUAUAUAUACUAAAAUCAUCAUCUUCAGUUUUGAAAGACUUAAGUAGAAAAUAAGUUUUUCUUUUAAGCACCAAAGGGCCUAUAGCUCAGGUUGGUUAGAGCACACGCCUGAUAAGCGUGAGGUCGGUGGUUCAAGUCCAUUUAGGCCCACCAAAAAAAGGUCCUGCUUAAAAAGUUCUUUGGAAAGUAGAUAAACAUGCUUUAAAAUUUUCAUAAAGUUGAAGGAAGCAAGGGCAUAUAGUGGAUGCCUUGGCACUAAGAGCCGAUGAAGGACGCAAUUAACGGCGAUACACCAUGGGGAGUUGUAAAUAAAUGGAGAUCCAUGGAUUUCCGAAUGGGGCAACCUACUACAAUAAACUUGUAGUUUUUUGAUUUCUAUCAAAAAGGAAACGCAGUGAACUGAAAUAUCUAAGUAACUGCAGGAAAAGAAAGUAAUAACGAUUCCGCUAGUAGUGACGAGCGAACGCGGACCAGCCUUGGAUACUAUCACUAGUUACAAAAUAAAAAGUUAUUUGAAGUUUUUGGAAAGAAACACCAAAGAAGGUGAUAGUCCUGUAAAAAGAAACUCUUUAUCUAGAGUAUCCUAAAAAGUACGGCGAGACACGAGAAAUCUUGUUGGAAGAAAUCGGGAGGACCAUCUCCCAAGGCUAAAUACUCCUUAGUGACCGAUAGUGAACUAGUACCGUGAGGGAAAGGCGAA
rnacentral:sRNA from 1 species